rnacentral:lncRNA from 1 species
UUUAAAUUUUACUGCCUUUUUCUGAAAGUCUAGCUUAGCUCAUAUGAGCCUCAAAGACCUGCUUAUUUAAGAAACAAGUAAUCUAAUGUGGUUGGAGGAGAGGAAUUUGUAAGGAUGUAAAAGAUCAGAGUUCAUAAAAUGGACAAGGGCCAGACUGCAAAAAUUUCACAUGUAACAGGGAAGGUAUCUCAUCUACUAAAUGUCUUCUGUAGGUCAAGCACUGUUACAACCACUAUCCUGUUAAUUGUUCUAAUCCCAAUUAUGAUCUUAAAGAAAAGAGUUAUCUCUAUUUGUAGAUGUGGCUCAGACACAUUAAGAAACUUGCCCAAGGUUACGGAACUAGCAGAUUUCUGAGAAAUAAAACAGGUCUGGUUUGCUCUUUUCACUAACCCUCAAACUCUGGUUGGCACAAAAAACAGUUGGGGGUGGGGGAUCUGGAAUGGCCUAAGCAUAUUCCAGAUCUACUUGAUUAAUAUCUCCGGGGCUGAGGUCUGGACACCUGUAUUAUUAUUAUUAUUUUAUUAUUAUUACACUUUUAAGUUUUAGGGUACAUGUGCACAAUGUGCAGGUUAGUUACAUAUGUAUACAUGUGCCAUGCUGGUGUGCUGCACCUAUUAACUCGUCAUCUAGCAUUAGGUAUAUCUCCUAAUGCUAUCCCUCCCCCCUCCCCCCACCCCACAACAGUCCCCAGAGUGUGAUGUUCCCCUUCCUGAGGCCAUGUGUUCUCAUUGUUCAAUUCCUACCUAUGAGUGAGAACAUGCGGUGUUUGGUUUUUUGUCCUUGUGAUAGAUUACUGAGAAUGAUGAUUUCCAAUUUCAUCCAUGUCCCUACAAAGGACAUGAACUCAUCAUUUUUUAUGGCUGCAUAGUAUUCCAUGGUGUAUAUGUGCCACAUUUUCUUAAUCCAGUCUAUCAUUGUUGGACAUUUGGGUUGGUUCCAAGUCUUUGCUAUUGUGAAUAGUGCCGCAAUAAAUAUACGUGUGCAUGUGUCUUUAUAGCAGCAUGAUUUAUAGUCAUUUGGGUAUAUACCCAGUAAUGGGAUGGCUGGGUCAAAUGGUAUUUCUAGUUCUAGAUCCUUGAGGAAUCGCCACACUGUCUUCCACAAUGGUUGAACUAGUUUACAGUCCCACCAACAGUGUAAAAGUGUUCCUAUUUCUCCACAUCCUCUCCAGCACUUGUUGUUUCCUGACUUUUUAAUGAAUGCCAUUCUAACUGGGGACACCUGUAUUAUUAAGGGGGCCCUCAGGUGACUUUUAUGCACAUGGGUUUGAUAGCAAAUAAACUAAACCAAGACAAUAGUUAUGAAAAGUGAAAGGAUAUAUACUGGACCAAACUGAAAAUACAAGCAAUCCUUUAUACUAACCACUUAGUACUAUGGUUUCCUUGAAUAAAUUCCUCAGUCCCUAUAGCUUGAGAGAAAUAAAAUGUUAAAGACUCCCAAUCACCCCUACUCUGCUAAGGACCAUUGUACUCAGGCAAAUGCAAAACGAGCAGCUGGAUAGAAACUAAAUACUCCUAAUUUCUUCUAUUCCUGAUUCUUGUUCCUCUGGACUUUGCUAAAAUAAAGUAUUAGAACAUUAUGGAAAAGAAGUAUCAAUGAGUUGAUAAUUUGAAGCUCUGGACUUAGAAAGACAAAACCUCAUUUAAUAGUUUGUUUGGUGGCAUAUGUGUAAUAAAAUAUUUAUCUGAGAAAAUAUUCUAUACAUAUGUGUUUGUGAUACAGAUCUUCACAUAGCACUUGUUUUGCUUUUUGUUUUUAAAACCACAAUUCUUGCUGAGCUUUUUAAGGGUAGAAGUGGGAAGGCAUAUAUAAUUAUAUCAGAUAAUGCUGUAAAGUCAGACUAGUGAAAAGGCUUUAUCUACAUUUCUGCUUAAAGUCUAGCCUCUUUAAUAGUUAAUAGAGAAUAGAAAAUACUCCAUCUGUUUAAGAUGUAAGAUAAGAAAUGAGUGAAAUGUACAAAAUAUCCCCCACUAACAUCUCAAAAAAGAUUACUUUGUAGUUAUAUACCCUAGAAAAAAUUUGUAAGUAUUAUCUUUUUUUCUAAAAUUCUUUUUAUGGAAAGUUCACUUGUCACGGAAAUUGUACAGAAAUACCUCGACAUUAAACAAGAAAAAGCUUUUCUAAGAAGGCCCUCUUGUGGAAGAAGUAAGAAUUAUUCACAGAAUUUCUUAUGAAAACUGUAUAUAUUAAAACUGUUAUUUUAGUAACAGUUCAUUAAAAUAAGAAUCAAAUAAAAUGAAAACCAUUUUCUAUAUGAAUAAAAUUAAGUCCUAGGUAUCAUCAACUUUUACUAAAACAUUAGCUGUAAAUAAACACAUUUCUCCCUCAUUUUUCCUUUAAUAAAAUGUCAUUCCAAUUUAGCUGAUUUCAAAUUCAAAUGUUAACCAUUUGUUUUAGUUACCAGACAGAAUACACACUUAAAAAUAUAAAAAUCAUUCAUUUUUUUAGAAAGUCAACUUUAAAUUUUAAUGUAAUACUAGAAAUUUAGAAUAAUAAUCUUAACUUUUAAUACACAAGACCAUAAAUUCUACUUAAACUAAUUUAAUCAUAAACAAUAAAAUAAUGGGAAUAAUACUAUUUCUUUGUAAAAUGUUUUCUUCAAAAUUUCAUCUCAUUUAAGUAAAAAAAAAGUCUCCUCUGAAACAGUUCUUUUUUGAGGGAGUGGCAAGCAGGUAGGCAGAAGAGAGGUCAGAUGAAAAGCACAGAACUCCUAAAUUUGGUAUUAGAAUAAGCAAAUAAAUGUAACAACUUUCCAUCUUUAUAACUAAUAUUAAUUCUGAUGUAAAUCUAUACUUUUAAAGGAAACACUGGCUUCAUGCUAAGCA